GCAAGAGCGUCUGAUGGAGGUGGAGAGGGACAACAGACUGCUGGUGUCCAGAAUUGCCCGCACCAUGGCCAAAGGAGGCCUGGACAACUGGAACGAGUCCUAUGAGGUCUAUUCAAAGAACUGUAGGAGUGAAGAUGUGAGGAACCGAGAGCUGGUGAAGAUUUCCCUGGAGAACCAGGCUAUCCUCAACAAGAUCAACAUGACCAAGCCUGUGUACGACCACAAGCAAUGGCUGAAUGACUUCAAAGUAAGGGGGGGGGGUGAGGGAGGGAUGGAGAGAGGGAAUGGUGAGGAAAGAGGAAAAGAGAACAAGAGGGAGAGGAAAACAAAACAGGAAUAAUGAGAGAAUGUGUGUGUGUGUAAGAGAAUGAGUGAGUGAGUGACAGAAAGAGAGAAAGAGCAAGAUAGAGAGGAAGAGAGAGUGUGAAAGUGAGUGUCAGAAAGAUCUGGGUGUAUAAAGUGGCUGAAAGCCUAAUAGAGAGAAGUGGGGGUGAGAAUAAGGAAAAGGAUGUAUUAACCCUAUGUAAUGUAUAUGUAUAAAGGAUGUAUCAACGAUGCUCUGGUGAUAGCCUUAUGGAUGUGAUUUACUCAACAGUGCAGCUUUUAAAUACUAUGUGCACUGGGAACAAUAGCAUCUCAUUACUUUUGGUAAAGUCAAACGGCAUUACAUUCACAGAAAAUCACAUCUGUUUUUGUAGGAUAUUAAAUCUUUUUGAGCAGGCCAUUGUAUAGAUAUUUAUAUCAGUAUUGCACAAAUAUAAAGAUACAUGUCAUGUUUUACUGAGACAAGAGUGUGUAUUGUUUCCUACAGGUGACAAGAGAAUAUAUGAAACGUCUGAUAAAGUAGCCACAAACAGACACAACCAAGGUGAUGCAUCAUAACGUAAAAACACUGUCAGGUGGAUACUUAGUAUAAAUAACAAGAACCUUGCAUUUAUCAGUGUUUCGAUGUUUCAGUAUUACGGUUGUCAUGAAUGAAUCACCACACUUAUGAUCAAAGAAACCAAGCCUUCAAAACUGUCUUUUUGUCUUCUUCACAGGUGCCCGCUUUGAACCUGAUUAAUUGACCAACAUCAACUCCAACACUGCAGUUUAUCCACCAGCUAUUUUAUUGUAUAGUUUUGUAUGGUGUAAUUCAAAAGCAAAUAAUGCCAAAUCAAUAAAAUGCAACAGUGUUUACUAUGACA
rnacentral:lncRNA from 1 species